rnacentral:lncRNA from 1 species
UAAAGUCAAUGGUAGUCAAAGUGGGCUCUGUCGGUAGUCCGUAGGAAAUCCGUAGCUAUGUAUUUCCGUAGCUAUUCCGUAGGAAAAUAGUCAAACAUGACUCUCGUGAGUAAACCGUAGGUAUUCCAUAGCUAUUCCGUAGGUAUUAUACCUACGGAAAAAGCUGUAGCUAUUUUGUAGCUAGUCCGUAGCAAUUCUGUAGGUAUAAAUUUCCCACGGGCAUUUAUGCUACAGGGCAUUUUCCAUAGCCAAUCUGUAGGUAUCGCCUUAUACCUAUUGAAUAGCUACGAAUUGUGUCGUAGCUGUUGCCCUUGUUUUCUUGUAGUGCAGACACCCAGUCCAUUGAACAUUUUCAACUUAAGGUUGAUACGUCGACGAGCUAGGUGUUGUCAUUCUUUCCAUAUAGUUGGGCAUACACAGCUACAUAACUUUAAAAAAAAUGCGGGGACCAAUAUCAGCUUUAUAUAAGUUAACCUUUUACAGAAGUAAAAGGGCUAAAUUGAUAUUUUUUUGGAAAAUAAGACUAAAAGUAUAAUUUUUGUGAAAGAUGUGGACGAAACUGCCCUUUUCAGAAGAACACGGACCAAACUAAACUUUUCAAAAUUUGGUUAACUAACAAUGUCACUGAAGACGUCCCUCGUCUUCUAUAACAAACUAGUUUUUCGACAUCCUUUCCGGAAAUGAUUCGAUUGACGAUUUCACAAACUUCCAGUGGUCGAAAAAUUUCCAAAAAGGUAUAUUCAAAAUCGUUAGAAUGAGACCUUUCCAACGGUGUUCCUAGCAAGAGAUUGUGAGAAAAAAAAAAUUGAACAAAAAACAAAGAAUCUACCCCUAGAGCUAAUCCAAACUCUGAAACCACUUGUUUGGUUAAAAAUGUUCUUUUAUUCAGAACUAAAAGAAAAUAAACAAACUUACACACUCAGUAUUACAUGAAAAACAAUCAUCUUUGAUAAUACUUAGUAGUAUUAUACACUACAUCUUUAUAAAGAUUGGUGCUCAACAACUGAUGUUAGAGCUUCCAUUUAUAGCUAAACCAGCUUACUAUAGCUAUAGUUUUCUUUAAAGUGUUCACCAUUUGAAUAUAAAAUUUUACCAUAUGAAAGGAAGAAGCUUCCAUUUAUAGUUCUUAUUGUCAACAAAGAUGUUGGUGCACCUACCCAAGUUAGGUUUAAACUCACAAGCCCUUCUUCCCUAAUGUUGCAUCACCAGUUUCCUUAGCUUCUUUCGCUUUCUGGGUGACCAAAUCCUUGUGUUCCUCUGCCAAGAUAGCGUCUUCUUUUGCUUUAUGGAUAACCUGGUCAGCGAUUUCGUUUGCUUUAUGGUUAGCAAAGUCAGUGGCUUCUUUUACUUUCUGAGCGACGAAACCUUUGUGCUCCUCCGCCAAGUCAGCAGCUUCUUUUGCUUUCUUAGCCACGAAAACCUUGUGCCCCUCGGCCAAGUCAAUAGCUUCUUUUGCUUUCUGGUUAGCGAAGUCACUUUCUUCUUUUGCUUUUUGAACGUUGGAAUCCUUGAGCUCCUCCGACCCCUUCCCGGUGGCUUGAUGAGUUUUUCCGGUCACAUCUUUGGCACUGCCGAGAGCGUUGGAAACCGUUUUAAAUAUGUUUCCAAUGACAACGGGUUCAGAUUGUUUCUUAUUGUUCUGGUCAGACCCGCUUAUAUCAUGAGGUGAAGCCAUUUGAUGUCAAGAUCAAUGUAUUGCACUCUAAAAUUCGAUUGAAUAUUAAAAAGGAACUGGAUUAGAAGAUAGAAUGUGAGUUGUGAGUGGAAGAGAAUGCGAUAUAUAUAGGGUGCAUGGUAAAAUAGUUGAUUUUUCUAAUGCGGUGGAUAACUUAACUUACAUGUUUUAAAAGAAAAUUAAAGAAC